UACGUAGGGAGCAAGCGUUGUUCGGAUUUACUGGGCGUAAAGGGCGCGUAGGCGGCGCGGUAAGUCACUUGUGAAAUCUCUGAGCUUAGCUCAGAACGGCCAAGUGAUACUUCAGUGCUAGAGUGCAGAAAGGGCAAUCGGAAUUCUUGGUGUAGCGGUGAAAUGCGUAGAUAUCAAGAGGAACACCUGAGGCGAAGGCGGGUUGCUAGGCUGACACUGACGCUGAGGCGCGAAAGCCAGGGGAGCAAACGGG
rnacentral:rRNA from 1 species